UACGUAGGGUGCGAGCGUUUGUCCGGAAUUAUUGGGCGUAAAGGGCUCGUAGGCGGUUUGUCGCGUCGGGAGUGAAAUCCACUGGCUUAACUGGUGGCUUGCGGUCGAUACGGGCAGGCUAGAGUUCGGUAGGGGAGACUGGAAUUCCUGGUGUAGCGGUGAAAUGCGCAGAUAUCAGGAGGAACACCGGUGGCGAAGGCGGGUCUCUGGGCCGAUACUGACGCUGAGGAGCGAAAGCGUGGGGAGCGAACAGG
rnacentral:rRNA from 1 species